AUUGAACGCUGGCGGCAGGCUUAACACAUGCAAGUCGAGCGGUAACAGAGAGAAGCUUGCUUCUCUGCUGACGAGCGGCGGACGGGUGAGUAAUGCCUAGGAAUCUGCCUAGUAGUGGGGGAUAACUUGCCGAAAGGUAAGCUAAUACCGCAUACGUCCUACGGGAGAAAGGAGGGGACCUUCGGGCCUUUCGCUAUUAGAUGAGCCUAGGUCGGAUUAGUUAGUUGGUGAGGUGAUGGCUCACCAAGACCGCGAUCCGUAACUGGUCUGAGAGGAUGAUCAGUCACACUGGAACUGAGACACGGUCCAGACUCCUACGGGAGGCAGCAGUGGGGAAUAUUGGACGAUGGGGGGAACCCUGAUCCAGCCAUGCCGCGUGUGUGAAGAAGGUCUUAGGAUUGUAAAGCACUUUAAGUUGGGAGGAAGAGCAGUUAACUAAUAUUUGACUGUUUUGACGUUACCGACAGAAUAAGCACCGGCUAACUUCGUGCCAGCCGCCGCGGUAA
rnacentral:rRNA from 1 species